rnacentral:rRNA from 1 species
UACGUAGGGGGCAAGCGUUGUCCGGAUUUAUUGGGCGUAAAGAGCGUGUAGGCGGCCGUACAGGUCAGCUGUGAAAACUCGAGGCUCAACCUCGAGACGUCGGUUGAAACCGUACGGCUAGAGUCCGGAAGAGGAGAGUGGAAUUCCGCGUGUAGCAGUGAAAUGCGUAGAGAUGCGGAGGAACACCGAUGGCGAAGGCAGCCCCCUGGGUCGACACUGACGCUCAGGCACGAAAGCGUGGGGAGCAAACAGG